UUGUAAAAGUUUGUUUGAAAAAAUUAAAAAACUUCCAUCUUUUUUUAAAGUGAUUGCCACACGAAAGAACCUGUUUCUCAAAAAAAGAUAUGGAAACGAAAAUUGUUUGACCGCAUCGGACGCGUUGCAUCAUGGGUAUUGCCCAAGGAAAGAUGAUGAGAUCAGUUUUGUCCUCGGAAAUGAUUGAAAGGGGUCCCGGUGAAUGGGGGGAGCGAGACACCUUUUAUGUUAGCUGCCCCUAUAUAAGGGCCCACUCUCUUCAGCUCUUCAGGAAAACUUCAUUCCUCUUUGGUAUUAAACAGAACGCUUAGCAUGAAGCUGUGGAUUGUAUUUUUAUUUGCGUUGCUGGCACUGGCAUCUGCAGCCGGUAAAUAUGGUGGUGGUGGCGGCCAUGGAGGAGGAGGUCGAGGUGGUGGCCUCGGAGGAUACCGUGGAGGUGGAGGAGGAGGCAAAUGGGGUGGUGGAGGUGGACAUGGCGGUGGCCUAGGAGGUUAUAGAGGAGGUGGAGGAAGUAAAUGGGGUGGCGGUGGAGGUAUGCGUGGCCACGGAGGUGGUGGAUACGGUGGCGGUGGAGGAUAUGGCAAAGGACAUAGAGGAGGUGGAGGAGGCUACGGAGGAGGUGGUGGAAAACGCGGAGGAGGAGGUGGAGGAUAUGGUGGAGGAGGAUAUGGAAAACAUGGUUAAAAGGAAAAGAAAGAGGGGAGAACUCACAUAGCCAAAAAACUUAAGAAAAAGGGAAGUGAACGUUAAGAUACACAAAGAAGCCUGUGCAGUCAACUAACGAAGAAAUGAGAUGAUUUUUUUUUUUAAUUACGUUUUAGUGUUUUUAAGAUCUACAAAUAAAACACAUGUUUUUAUUUUUACAAA
rnacentral:misc_RNA from 1 species